rnacentral:rRNA from 1 species
UCAAAGAUUAAGCCAUGCAUGUCUAAGUAUAAACAAUCUAUACUGUGAAACUGCGAAUGGCUCAUUAAAUCAGUUAUCGUUUAUUUGAUAGUACCUUACUACUUGGAUAACCGUGGUAAUUCUAGAGCUAAUACAUGCCAAAAACCCCGACUUACGAAGGGGUGUAUUUAUUAGAUAAAAAACCAAUGCUCUUCGGGGCUCUAUGGUGAUUCAUAAUAACUUAACGAAUCGCAUGGCCUUGCGCCGGCGAUGGUUCAUUCAAAUUUCUGCCCUAUCAACUUUCAAUCUUACGGUAGUGGCGUAAGAUGGUGGCAACGGGUAACGGGGAAUUAGGGUUCUAUUCCGGAGAGGGAGCCUGAGAAACGGCUACCACAUCCAAGGAAGGCAGCAGGCGCGCAAAUUACCCAAUCNNAACACGGGGAGGUAGUGACAAUAAAUACUGAUACAGGGCUCUUUUGGGUCUUGUAAUUGGAAUGAGUACAAUCUAAAUCCCUUAACGAGGAACAAUUGGA